CCAAUAGCGUAUAUUAAAGUUGUUGCAGUUAAAAAGCUCGUAGUUGAACUUCGGGGUUUACCCAUUGGUCAGGCUUAAUUGUCUGAACUGGUGAGAUAAAUCUCUACCUUCUGAGGAACUUUCAUGUCAUUAAUUUGGUGUGAUUGGAAAUCAGGACUGUUACUUUGAAAAAAUUAGAGUGUUUAAAGCAGGCUAACGUCUGAAUACAUUAGCAUGGAAUAAUGAAAUAGGACGGACUGAUUCUAUUUCGUUGGUUUCUAGGAUCACCGUAAUGAUUAAUAGGGAUAGUUGGGGGCAUUAGUAUUCAAUUGUCAGAGGUGAAAUUCUUGGAUUUAUUGAAGACUAACUACUGCGAAAGCAUUUGCCAAGGAUGUUUUCAUUAAUCAAGAACGAAAGUUAGGGGAUCGAAGACGAUCAGAUACCGUCGUAGUCUUAACCAUAAACUAUGCCGACUAGGGAUCGGACGAAGUUAAUUUUAUAAUGACGCGUUCGGCACCUUACG
rnacentral:rRNA from 1 species